UAGGGUGACCAACUAUCCUGGUUUGCCUGGGACUGAGAAAUUUCCUGGGAUGCAGAGCUUUCAGUACUAUAUAGCCUGGACAGUCCUAGGAAAACCAGGGUGGUUGUCGCCCUAGUCUUAC
rnacentral:pre_miRNA from 1 species